CUAGGCUGCGUCGGUCGCUGCUCAUCAGCGAUCGGGUUUAGUCGCCCGGAUC
rnacentral:ncRNA from 1 species